ensembl:snoRNA small nucleolar RNA SNORA13
UGCCUUUGUGUUGCCCAUUCAUUCCUAUCCAGAAUGAAUGUGGUGUCAAAAAAGGCAAACAGGAAUUCUUGCUCAGACUGUUUAAGGAGCUGGUUUUGUAACUUCUCCCUGUUUUUGCAAGAACAGAA